rnacentral:rRNA from 1 species
UACGAAGGGGGGCUAGCGUUGUUCGGAAUUACUGGGCGUAAAGGGCGCGUAGGCGGUGUGUCAAGUCAGGCGUGAAAGCCCCGGGCUCAACCUGGGAACAGCGCUUGAGACUGGCACGCUCGAGUUCGGGAGAGGAUGGUGGAAUUCCCAGUGUAGAGGUGAAAUUCGUAGAUAUUGGGAAGAACACCGAUGGCGAAGGCAGCCAUCUGGACCGACACUGACGCUGAGGCGCGGAAAGCGUGGGGAGCAAACAGG